rnacentral:rRNA from 1 species
GACGAACGCUGGCGGCGUGCCUAAUACAUGCAAGUUGAGCGAUGAAGAUUGGUGCUUGCACCAAUUUGAAGAGCAGCGAACGGGUGAGUAACGCGUGGGGAAUCUGCCUUUGAGCGGGGGACAACAUUUGGAAACGAAUGCUAAUACCGCAUAAUAACUUUAAACAUAAGUUUUAAGUUUGAAAGAUGCAAUUGCAUCACUCAAAGAUGAUCCCGCGUUGUAUUAGCUAGUUGGUGAGGUAAAGGCUCACCAAGGCGAUGAUACAUAGCCGACCUGAGAGGGUGAUCGGCCACAUUGGGACUGAGACACGGCCCAAACUCCUACGGGAGGCAGCAGUAGGGAAUCUCCGGCAAUGGACGAGAGUCUGACCGAGCAACGCCGCGUGAGUGAAGAAGGUUUUCGGAUCGUAAAACUCUGUUGGUAGAGAAGAACGUUGGUGAGAGUGGAAAGCUCAUCAAGUGACGGUAACUACCCAGAAAGGGACGGCUAACUACGUG